GCAGCACGGGGGCAACCCUGGUGGCGAGUGGCGAACGGGUGAGUAAUACAUCGGAACGUGCCCAGUCGUGGGGGAUAACGUAGCGAAAGCUACGCUAAUACCGCAUACGAACUCUGGUUGAAAGCGGGGGAUCGCAAGACCUCGCGCGAUUGGAGCGGCCGAUGGCAGAUUAGGUAGUUGGUGGGGUAAAGGCCUACCAAGCCGACGAUCUGUAGCUGGUCUGAGAGGACGACCAGCCACACUGGGACUGAGACACGGCCCAGACUCCUACGGGAGGCAGCAGUGGGGAAUUUUGGACAAUGGGCGCAAGCCUGAUCCAGCCAUUCCGCGUGCAGGAUGAAGGCCCUCGGGUUGUAAACUGCUUUUGUACGGAACGAAAAGGUCCUGGUUAAUACCCGGGGCUGAUGACGGUACCGUAAGAAUAAGCACCGGCUAACUACGUGCCAGCAGCCGCGGUAAUACGUAGGGUGCGAGCGUUA
rnacentral:rRNA from 1 species